rnacentral:lncRNA from 1 species
UCCAGUGCACUGGCUUCCCUCACUGGACUCGGUAAGUAUUCUCCUUACUUGUGAGAGGGCCUUAAAGGGAAAAUCACACUUACCUUGUCUCUCUACAUGUUCUGUUUAGAAACUGUACUGGGCCUACUCAGUGUAUAAAAUUUAGGUCUUAGGGUUAUAUCAGUCUCUAGAAGGUUUGCUAUCCAUAAAUGCUUUUAAGGACCUUUAUUUAGAUUGUAUUGUAGCAAGUCAAGUUUUACCAUAGAGGAAAGGGUUUAUCUUAGAGCGUGAUAGUAGUGAUGUUCAUAAUUUGCCAUUUGCAUGAUACAGUAUCAAGUGUAUAAAAGCUUGAACUUGCCUUUUCCGAAUCUGCAUUUCAAAUUAAUAUUUGUGAGGAUCAGCAGAAAUGGGUAAAACCAAA